GCUUAACACAUGCAAGUCGAGGGGCUUCCUGCUCUUAGCUUGCUCAGGCCGAUGGCUACCGGCGGACGGGUGAGUAACGCGUAUCCAACCUGCCUUCUACUCUUGGAGCUCCUUCUGAAUAGAAUAUUAAUACCACAUGGCUUCCUGAUUUCACAUGUUCACAUGAUUAAUGGUCUUCCGGCAGACUAUGGGGAUGCGUUCCAUUAGAUAUUACGCGGGGACACUGCCCACCUAAUCUUCGAUGGAGAUGGGUUCUGAUAGGAAUGUACCCCCACAUUGGAACUGAAACACGAGUCCAACACUCCUACGGGAGGCAGCAGGGAGGAAUAUUGGUCACUGGGCCACAGCCUGAACCAGCCAAGUACCUUGAACGAUGACUGCCCUAUGGGUUGUAAACUUCUUUUAUACAUGAAUAAAGUCGGGUAUGUAUACCCGUUUGCAUGUACUUUAUGAAUAAGGAUCGGCUAACUCCGUGCCAGCAUCCGCGGUAAUACGGAGGAUCCGAGCGUUAUCCGGAUUUAUUGUGUUUAGAGGGAGCGCAGACGGAUGUUUCUUUCAAUUGUGAAAGUCUGCAGCUCAACCGAAGAAUUGCAAUUGAUACUGGAUAUCUUGAGUGCAGUUGAUGCAGGCAGAAUUCGUGGUGUAGCGGUGAACUGCUUAGAUAUCACUAGAAACUCCGAUUGCAAAGCGCGCCUGCUAAGCUGCAUCUGACAUUGAGGCUCGAAAGUGUGAGUAUCAAACAAGAUUAGAUACGCUGGUACUCCACACGGUAGACGAUGAAUACUCGCUGUUUGCCCUAUACUGCAAGCCCGCCAGCCGAAAGCGAUAAGUAUUCCACCUGGGGAGUACGCAGGCAACAGUGAAACUCAAAGGAAUUGAACAGGUACCGCACAAGCGGAGGAACAUGUGGUAUAAUUAGAUGAUACGCGAGGAACCUUACCCGGUCUUAAAUCUCAGAUGAAUUACGAGUGAAAGCUGUAAGCCGCAAGGCAUAUGUGAAGCAUGGUGCAUGGUAGUCGUCAGUCUCGAGCACGUGAGGUGUAGUCUUAAGUGCCAUAACGAGCGCAACCCUAGUUGUCAGUCUACUAACAGGUCUGUCUGAGGAGUCUGACAAGAGAUGCCAUGGUAAGAUGGGAGGAAGGUGGGGAUGUCGUCAAAUCAGCUCGGCCAUUACGUCCGGGGCUACACAAGUGUUACAAUGGGGGGUACAGAGGGUCGUUAGCACGAGAGUGGACGCCAAUCCCCAAAACCUCUCUCAGUUAGGACUGGAGUUUGCAACCAGAAUCCAGGAAGUCUGGAUUAUCUAGUAAUCGCAGCAUCAGCCACGGCGCGGUGAAUACGUUCCCGGACAUUGUACACACCGCCAGUCAAGCCAUGAAAGCCGGGGGUACCUGAAGUAACUAACCGCAAGGAG
rnacentral:rRNA from 1 species